ACUCCUACGGGAGGCAGCAGUAGGGAAUCUUCCACAAUGGACGAAAGUCUGAUGGAGCAAUGCCGCGUGAGUGAAGAAGGGUUUCGGCUCGUAAAACUCUGUUGUUAAGAAAGAACACCUUUGAGAGUAACUGUUCAAGGGCUUGACGGUAUUUAAC
rnacentral:rRNA from 1 species